AAGAGGAAAAUGAAAAAUAAAGGAGCUGCUAACUACCUUUAUAGGCGGUUAAAUUCCGUCACCCUCUUU
rnacentral:tRNA from 1 species